AGGACUAACGCUGGCGGCGUGCCUAACACAUGCAAGUCGAACGAGAGUAGCAAUACUCUAGUGGCAGACGGGUGAGUAACACGUGGUCAACCUACCUCUAUGUGGGGGAUAACUAGCCGAAAGGUUAGCUAAUACCGCAUACGAUCGUCGAGCGGCAUCGCUUGACGAUGAAAGGAGCAAUCCGCAGAGAGACGGGACCGCGUCCCAUUAGCUAGUUGGUGGGGUAAUGGCCUACCAAGGCGACGAUGGGUAGCUGGCUUGAGAGAGCGACCAGCCACACUGGGACUGAGACACGGCCCAGACUCCUACGGGAGGCAGCAGUGAGGAAUUUCCGCAAUGGGCGAAAGCCUGACGGAGCGACGCCGCGUGUGGGAAGAAGGCCUUCGGGUCGUAAACCACUGUCGAAGGGGAAGAGUAUUGACGGUACCCUUGGAGGAAGCCCCGGCUAACUACGCGCCAGCAGCCGC
rnacentral:rRNA from 1 species